AUUUGGGCCACGCCUCUUUAUUUCAAAUACAAUUUACAGCACAGACAUAGAAUCAACCCAAAUUCAAUACCAAUAUAUUCUCUUUUUGACCACUUUCAAUCCAAGAAUACAUUUCAAGUAAACAUAGAAUAAUAUUCCAAGGAUUUGUACAUAUAUCCUAGCAUUUGAAUAAUAAGUUCACCAAGCAAAUAUGCACCAAAUUCUCACCAAGAUCAACAAUACAUCCAAAUUCCCAGAAAAUACGGCAUUACAACAAACAUAUAAAGCAAGUCGUUGACUUGGACUUCCAGCUUCUUCAAAAAAAUCAGCACAUAACUCUCCUGCAGAUGAGAAGAAAAGCCACAUGUUCAGUCUCGAUAUGGGUAAUAUAUGCUAAAAAUAAAUCCAAGAACCGUGCAAGAGCCUAGGUUUUACUAUCAUUUGGACACCCAGAUAGGCGAUCCUUCCUUACCUAAUGUGUGCAAGUCCAAAUAAAUUAAUGAACAAUCCAUUUUAUAGAGCAAAUGAUAUGCCCCCCUUUUAUCUAAAAAUGUACUGUAUGCUAGUGACAGAACAAGGGGUAAGACUGUUAUGAUAUGCCAGAUUGCCAACAACAGUGCUUACAUGCAUCUUCAUAUUUCGAAAGGUAACAUGCAUCACAUCAAAAAAUUGUAAGCAUUGAACCUACAUCAUAUCUACAGUAACAUCACCAAUCAGGUUGCAUGUGUAUGCUAGAAAUCAAGAAUCAAAAGGACUUCAGCUUGUUUCGAAUAUCUUGCCUUUGUUGCUCCCAGUUCAAUAAAGAAAUAGUCGAGCAGUGAGCGCUUCGCCUCAUGGACUUGGCAGUGCACAAUAGAUUUCGGAAUGGAGCAUAAAUAGAAUACCUGGAAAAGAACAAUAAAGAGCUAUACAGUUAAGUAAGCAUCCUUGGCUGUACAAAUAAGUGGAGGGAACAAGAAAGCUACACAGUCUAGAAUUUCUGUUGAGAAACAGUAACUUGAUGUAAAGUCGCUUGAAAAUAGAAAACACCUUACAAGCUUGUGAAGCUUACCAUGAUUUCAAAAGCAUGGGUUAUGUAAUCUUUUAUGCCAUCCUCCCAAAAUUUGGCUGGAUGAUUUUGCAACUGUAGUUGUACCCAGCGGCUCAAAAUAUAAACAUAUAGAUGAGUUCUUCUCACAUGUCACCAGAGGCAAAUAGCAAUACACAUAAAUGAAUGAAUAGGGGCAUAUUCUACAGCAAGAUGAACCGGCAGAGAUAUAUCUUGUAGCCUACAACAAUCAUGUUAGAAACCACAAAGAUACAAUUACAAGGCUCGCACCGAAACAAAAAAUUUGUGUAGUGGCUUCAAGUAAAUUAGUGGACAAAAAUUUCAGACUGAAUAUGAAGCAUUCUCCAUGGACAGAAAUUUCAGGCUUUCUUAACAUUUCCAUUAACAACAAAUUGAUACACCAGACAAUGCUAUCAGGUAUCACAACAGCAUAGACACACAACAUAAACAAGGGUAUAUAACCACACACACGGCAAAUACACAUUAGAAUGAGGCGAAACUAGAAUGUUCCGACUUAUAAUCCACAUACAUAGACACUUACUGGAAUCUGCAAAUGCUUAGACUAGAAUGAGAACAAAAGAAAACAGAACCUAUCUAUGCAGCAGAGAGAGAGAGAUAGCAGGGGAGGAGGACCUAUGGACCAACUUGCCCUUUACCAAAUAGCUCAAGGGGAGCACAGCAGCAGCAGUAGAUUGGCCCUGCUUGUUCCCCUUCACACAACUAGAUUAGAAUAAC
rnacentral:lncRNA from 1 species